GCGCGGGCUGGUCACCUGGAGACGUGGUGCCGCUGCGGCAUGACACGGAGCUGUUCGCCUACGGUGGCUGUGGACCUGUGUGUGUUCUCUACCCACCAUGAACUUCCCUUGGACCGGGGGCUGUUGGACUCCGUUGAAGGAGCAGCCCUGCGCCGUGCAGUUGGUGAAGUCGAACAGCUCGCGGACCAGCUCCCGGCACCUGUCUGAGUCGGGCUUCCCCACAAAGCAGCCUCAUGCCGGCGGUGGCCCCCAGGAACAGCGGUGUUUUCUGGCGUUUCUCCACUGGGAUUUCUUCUGUGACCUUCUGCAUGCAUCCCGUGAAGGACGCCCAAGUAUUUUUGUCCUUCUCCGCGUCCACCAAC